CAUUUCCCAGUCACCCUCUUUGUGCUUUUCCCCAGGUCCAACACUUCCUUUCAGAGAUGGAUGGGAGACUAGCAUGCAGCACUAAGGACUUCAAAGCACCCAGGAAUUGCAUGGUGGCAUGGAGCAGCUUUUCCUCAUAUGAUAAAACCUGGAGCUCCGCAGAGA
rnacentral:lncRNA from 1 species